rnacentral:rRNA from 1 species
UACGGGGGGAGCAAGCGUUGUUCGGAUUUACUGGGCGUAAAGGGCGCGUAGGCGGUCGUGACAAGUCACUUGUGAAAUCUCCGGGCUUAACUCGGAACGGUCAAGUGAUACUGUCGGACUAGAGUACAGAAGGGGCAACUGGAAUUCUCGGUGUAGCGGCGAAAUGCGUAGAUAUCGAGAGGAACACCUGCGGCGAAGGCGGGUAGCUGGGCCGACACUGACGCUGAGGCGCGAAAGCCAGGGGAGCGAACGGG